CUCCUCAGUGAUGAGACCCCUACCGCCCCAGUCUGAUCCCCAUGACUGAGUGGUUCCCUCUGAGGCC
ensembl:snoRNA SNORD31 Small nucleolar RNA SNORD31